CAGCCUGAUGCAGCGACGCCGCGUGAGGGAUGGAGGCCUUCGGGUUGUAAACCUCUUUUAUCGGGGAGCAAGCGAGAGUGAGUUUACCCGUUGAAUAAGCACCGGCUAACUACGUGCCAGCAGCCGCGGUAAUACGUAGGGUGCAAGCGUUAUCCGGAAUUAUUGGGCGUAAAGGGCUCGUAGGCGGUUCGUCGCGUCCGGUGUGAAAGUCCAUCGCUUAACGGUGGAUCCGCGCCGGGUACGGGCGGGCUUGAGUGCGGUAGGGGAGACUGGAAUUCCCGGUGUAACGGUGGAAUGUGUAGAUAUCGGGAAGAACACCAAUGGCGAAGGCAGGUCUCUGGGCCGUUACUGACGCUGAGGAGCGAAAGCGUGGGGAGCGAACAGGAUUAGAUACC
rnacentral:rRNA from 1 species